UACUUAAAAAGUAAUAUGAUAAAAUUGAAACGGCACAGAGAAGAUUAGCAUGACUCCGAUACAAGGAUGACAAACAUAUAAGCAUUAAUGACUAGUUAU